rnacentral:tRNA from 1 species
GCCCCCGUGGCGUAAUGGAUAGCGUGUAAGUCUUCGGAACUUAAGGUGAGGGUUCGAAUCCUUCCGGGGGCA